CUCUAGUCUUAUUGAAUGGGGUGCCGUGGUUUCUCCUGCCCCUCGCAACCCUUCUCAGGAGGAACAAGCGGCUUCCUAGCCGCAACGAAACAGAGCGAUAACAGGUCUGUGAUGCUCUUAGAUGUCCGGGGCUGCACGCGCGGUACACUGAAGGAAGCAGCGUGUUUUUAUCCCUGUCUGUUAAAACAGUAAGCUUAGAAAAAAGUGUCUUGAGCAAAUACAGAGG
rnacentral:ncRNA from 1 species